rnacentral:tRNA from 1 species
GGUUCCAUGGUAUAAGGGGAAGCGCUCAGGACUUUGAAUCCUGCAAUCUGAGUUCCAAUCUCAGUGGGACUU